GCGUUUGCCUGGUUUUUAUUGUCUUUGUUUUUUAUCACUUGGAAAGAAAUUUUUAUGAGAUCAUUCUCUUUGGUUGUAUUGAAAAAAACUUUAAAAUUUUUUUGUUUCAUGUAUGUUAGGUGUUUUUAUUUUAUAGAAAAACUAGGGUUUUGUACUUUUUGUAUCAUGGGGUAUAUAGAGGUUUGUUAAAUUAUUGUUCCUGAAAGGCUCUGAUCUAUCUUCUUUGUUUUGUGUGGUGUUGCAGAACCAUAAGAAAAAAGUUGAUGGAUAGUGAUAUGCUUGUCGCAGGGUCUGAUAGCUGGUUAGGUGGGAAAUGCGCAUAAGUGCAGUGUAAUGUGUAAUAAGCGUAGAUUUCGUUGUAAUGCGUUUGUUGCUUUAUAGUGAGGUUAUAGGGGUAAGCUCUAGUAACGUUUAGGCGUAUAGUUUUUGUUAAGUAGAGUUAGUAUUGCUGGAUAAUUGUCCUAGCUCUUUGUAGAGUAAUUUGUGAUGAUGGUCGUUCAUUUUAUAAUCUUAUGUUAAAUUGUUGUUCAAAGUUACUUUCGAAUUUGGUUGGUUACAGUACCAUUUGAGGUCCUAAAAUUUUCUGGGUUCACAGUAGUAUGCCAUGCGUAGGUGUUUAGUUAUGGUUGUAGUUUAGUGGGGUUGAGUUGUGUCUGUUCGUAUGUUUUGUUUUAAUUGUUUUGAUAUUAUUUUAAAUUUUCUAAAUAGGCUUAAGGAACUCGGCAAAUUUUUUCUUCGCCUGUUUAUUAAAAACAUCGCUCUUAGUUUAAAAUUAAUAAGAGUCGUGCCUGCCCGGUGGGUUUACUUAAACGGUUGCUAUUAUAGUAGUACUAAGGUAGCGCAAUAAAUUGUCCUUUAAUUGGGGAAGGGAAUGAAUGGCUUGACGUGAGAAAAUCUGUCUCAGGUUUAAAAAUUGAAAUUUACUUUUAGGUGAAAAGGCUUAAAUAGGGUUAUUAGACGAGAAGACCCCGUCGAGCUUGAUGAGGUGGUGAAGUUAAUGUUUGCUGCUGAAGUUUUGUUGGGGUGACAGGAAGCAGAAUUAACGCAUCCUAUUUUACUUAUUUCGAUCUUAUAUUAUGGAGAAAAAGAAAAAGCUACCGCGGGGAUAACAGCGUAAUGUUUCUGGAAAGAUCAAAUUGAAAGAAAGUGUUGCGACCUCGAUGUUGAAUUAAGGUGUCAUCCUGGCGCAGUAGUUAGGAUAGUAGGUCUGUUCGCCCUUUAAAACCUUACAUGAUUUGAGUUUAGACCGGCGUGAGCUAGGUCGGAUUCUAUCUUUAUUUAAAGCUUUCUUUGUACGAAAGGAUCGGAGAGUUGGC
rnacentral:rRNA from 1 species